UUAUCCUACGGGACGCCGCAGUGGGGAAUAUUGCACAAUGGGGGGAACCCUGAUGCAGCAAUGCCGCGUGGGUGAAGAAGCACUCCGGUGCGUAAAGCCCUGUCAGCAGGGAAGAAAAUGACAGUACCUGGACAAGAAGCCCCGGCUAACUACGUGCCAGCAGCCGCGGUAAUACGUAGGGGGCAAGCGUUAUCCGGAUUUACUGGGUGUAAAGGGAGCGUAGACGGAAUUGCAAGUCUGAUGUGAAAAUCCGGGGCCCAACCCCGGAACUGCAUUGGAAACUGUAUUUCUAGAGUGUCGGAGAG
rnacentral:rRNA from 1 species